AUUGACAAGACUGGCCGUGAAGUCACAGAUCUGUUUGCCUCUGUUUUACAUGUCUUUGGAACAAAGGGCUGGGGAUGAACCCAGGGCCUCUCAGGUGCUAGACUCGUGCUCCACUCCUGAGAUGCACUCCCUACCCCCUCAAUGGAGCAUCAGAGGUAGUGCUCCAUAUCUGUGGUUGUGGCUGGCUGUGGCUCAGUGAGUGAUGAGACUCCAUGUGUGCACCUCCAAACUCAUGGGCAACACUGUUCAUGUCUCCACGUAUGGAUGGGGACACUGAUAAUUCACCGUGAUCAAGAACAAUGAUGAUGGGCCAGACAUGGUAGC